CAUGAAUGGCCAACACAAGACAUACACCUGUGCCCACGUCCCAUCCAAGUAGGGCACAAGAUGCGAUCUGCGAGCGUGUCCCUUCACGUGCAGACAGGCACGCGGCUUUGCAUUCCCUGUGCACGAGCCAUCCACGUGGUAGGCCUAUUGCACGCCCAUCAAGCUAAGCCUGCGGUACGUGACAAGUUGAGGCAGCUAGAG
rnacentral:lncRNA from 1 species